AACAACAACAGUGUCUACUGUCUGCUGCAUUGCUUCUCCCACUUCUGAGUCCUGUCUCAGGACCAGAACAUCUGCUACUUGCUCCGCUCCCCAUCCAUUAUUUCCAAGCUUUUUGCUUCUUCUUCUGGGGUGUGUCCUGUUCGCCGCCACUAUGAACCUGGGUCCAUACUAUCGUCAUCCUCCUGCUGCCUGGAAGCCUCUUGGGAUGGAGUUCUCCACCACUCGUCCUCACUGCCUAGUCCCUGACAAGCUGCAGUCCAAACCAUCUCUUCUCAGAAGUAAGUCUUGUUGAAUUAUAAACGGGCUUUACUGCCCGCGAAGUGGGGUUAGGAUUGCAGCCUAACAUAGAAACAAGAUGGAGGAGAGUCAUUGAUAUACACAUGCGGAAAUGACAUGGGUUGGAUAGAGACUGGUCCAACCACCUCUGAGAGAUUCAGACAGAAGCCAACCGUGAGGCAAUGAUAUUCCUGUGAUGAUGUUUACCAUUAUCAUCAUAUUGUGUUACCCCCAGUUGCCUCUAAUGAUGAAGAAGUGUGUGGCAUCAAAACCACAAACAAGGCAAUGGCAAGAUUGGUAGAGUUCAGGAGAAUGUGGUAUUAGCGCAUGGGUAGGCAAUCUAAGGCCUGGGGGCCAGAUCUGGCCCAAUCGCCUUCUCAAUCCAGCCCACGGACAAUCUGGGAAUCAGCGUGUUUUUACAUGAGUAGAAUGUGCCCUUUUAUUUAAAAAGCAUCUCUGGGUUAUUUGUGGGGCACUGGAAUUCGUUCAUUUUUUUUUUCAAAAUACAGUCCGACCCCCCACAAGGUCUGAGGGACAGUGGACUGGCCCCCUGCUGAAAAAGUUUGCUGACCCCUGUUUUAAAAAUGUAAAGGGACCCCUGACCAUUAGGUCCAGUCGUGGCUGACUCUGGGGUUGUGGCGCUCAUCUCGCUUUAUUGGCCGAGGGAGCCAGUGUACAACUUCCGGGUCAUGUGGCCAGCAUGACUAAGCCGCUUCUGGUGAACCAGAGCAGCGCACGGAAACGCCGUUUACCUUCCCACCGGAGCGGUACCUAUUUAUCUACUUGCACUUUGAUGUGCUUUCGAACUGCUAGGUUGGCAGGAGCAGGGACCGAGCAACGGGAGCUCACUCCGUCACGGGGAUUCGAACCGCCGACCUUCCGAUUGGUAAGUCCUAGGCCCUGUGGUUUAACCCACAGCACCACCUGCGCCC